UACAGGAUAGCCUAGUGGACAUGGCAUCUGCCCGGUAUAGGAACACUAUGGGUUCGAUUCCCAUCCCUGGAA